UACGAAGGGGGCUAGCGUUGCUCGGAAUCACUGGGCGUAAAGGGUGCGUAGGCGGGUCUUUAAGUCGGGGGUGAAAGCCCAGAGCUCAACUCUGGAACUGCCUUCGAAACUAGAGGACUUGGGUACGGGAGAGGUGAGUGGAAUUCCGAGUGUAGAGGUGAAAUUCGUAGAUAUUCGGAAGAACACCAGUGGCGAAGGCGGCUCACUGGCCCGUUACCGACGCUCAGGCGCGACAGCGUGGGGAGCAAACAGG
rnacentral:rRNA from 1 species